GCUUCGCAAGAGCGUGAAAUCCAGAUGGAGGGCAAGAAGUGAAGUAACCGAGAAUCUGCCGUCUGAAAAAAUGCCUGUUUUGUUUAGUUUACGGCUGCUCCAAUCGUUCUAACUGAGAAAAGGGAAAGGGUACCAAAGAUUGUCGUUCAUAAAGGUGAGAAAUGUAAAAAGCUCACAGAACAACGCCGUAAAAAAUGGAUUUUAAACGUACGUCUGUGGUCUGGAGGAGCAGAGUCUGCUAAUGCCCUAGUCUGCAGCGGCCACUUCGUCGAGGCUGCCCUAGCGCUUUGGGUGACGUUGAGUCGGUAGACUGGGCUCCGACAGUCAACCUCGGUUACCAAAAAACUAAGCCCAUAUCAGAGGCAUCUCUUCAACGAGAGCAGAGGAUGAAGCUCAAGGAAGACCAACAAAGACAGUCGGAAUGUGCAGAGGCUAUGUUGGAUCUCCAGCAGACAGCUGAGAGCCCGGGUAUGAGCCCAGAUCUAACGCCGACUGCUCCGAACCGAAGCAGCCGGCUGACAACAACUCACAAUCAGAGGGCAUCAGCGGGAAUGGGACAUUCAAUGAUCAAGGCUAUGCAGAUACCGGAUGCCAGACUGAGCUAACGAUGGAUGACAUUGAGAAGAUGGAGGAUGUUCUGAUACAGAACACAACAGAGCUUGGAGAUCUUCGAACCAAAGCACUGGACACACAGUUCAACCAGGAGUCCUUUGAAAAAAUCACCAUACUGUAAAAUUUCUGAUUGGUGUUGCACCCCAAGGCUAUGUCACUGACAUAUCUGGUGCCUGGGGAGAGAGAGUCAGUGAUAAACAGAUCACAAUAGAGAGUGACCUCCUAAAAAACCUGUUACCUGGAGAUAUUGUCCUAUUAGACCGUGGGUUCAAUAUUGGCGAUAGUGUGGGAUUUUACUGUGCUUCACUACAGAUACCUGCAUUUACCAAGGGGAGAAAACAGCUGUCAGCGUAUGAGGUGGCAGAAACUAGAAAAAUAGCUAAUUUGCAUAUUCAUGUUGAGAGAGUCAUCAGUUUAGUCAGAAGAAAAUAUCAGAUUCUGCAAAGCAGGGCUAUGCCCAUAGAGCACAUGGCAACAAAACCAGGUGAGGCACUAGCACUGAUUGACAAGAUUGGGGUUAUUUGCUGUGUCUUGUCUAAUCUUUCGGAGUCUGUCGUCCCACUGGAGUAAGGAGGAGGGGAAGAG